AUGGCCGCCCCCGCCGCCGCCGCCGGAAGCAGCCUCUACAGCAAGACCCUCCUCAAGAGUGAGCAGCUCUACCAGUACAUACUGGAGUCCACGGUGUUCCCGCGCGAGCCCGACUGCCUCCGGGAGCUGCGCGUCGCCACCGCGACCCACCCCAUGGCCCGCAUGGCGGCGUCGCCGGACCAGGUGCAGCUGUUCGGCCUGCUGAUCGAGAUGCUCGGCGCCAGGAACGCCAUCGAGGUCGGCGUGUUCACCGGGUACUCGCUGCUCGCCACCGCGCUCGCCCUCCCCGACGACGGCAAGGUCGUGGCCAUUGACCUUAGCCGCGAGAGCUACGACGAGAUAGGGGCGCCGGUGGUGGAGAAGGCCGGGAUGGCGCACAAGGUCGACUUCCGCGUCGGGCUCGCGCUGCCGGUGCUGGAUCAGCUGGUCGCCGAGGAUGGCAACCUGGGCAAGUUUGACUUCGCGUUCGUGGACGCGGACAAGGCCAACUUCCACCACUACCACGAGCGGCUGCUGCGGCUGGUCAGGGUCGGGGGCCUCAUCGCCUACGACAACACGCUGUGGGGCGGCUCCGUGGCCGCGCCGGACGACGAGGCGCUGUCGGAGCGCGACCGGGAGCUCGCAGGGAUCGCCAGGGCGUUUAACGCGGCGCUCACCGCCGACCGCCGCGUGCAGGUGUGCCAGCUCGCCAUCUCCGACGGGAUCAUGCUGUGCCGCCGCGUCGCGUGA
rnacentral:rRNA from 1 species